CGGCGGCAAAGGAACGGGUGUCGAGAGAAAUAACGGAGGUAGAGACGUGCGCAUAGGAAGGUGUCGGGCGUAGGAACUGGUUGCCGAGUGAGGCCGGCUCCCGUAUAUAUAGGGAUUUGUAGCGCAGGGGGGGGGGAGACGGGAUUUUUUUCUUACAGGCGGGGUUGGAUCGGAGGGUAUGAUCGAUAGCCAUUGGUUGACGGUCCCCGAACGCCGUUACUGCCACCACUACCGCGGACAAUAGAACGUCGGAGCGCUCGUAAUUAUUGUCGCCGCCGUGCUAGUACAUGCGUUAAUACAGUGACCAUUUUAUACUGUUGUAAUCUUUCAAAAUAUUUUUCCAAUUAAU